GCAGGAAUGGCCAGGAGGACAUUCCUGGCAAAAGGCACAGCAAGCACAGAAGCAGGCUGUCCUAAUACCCAGUCUUGGUUUUGUCUGCUUCCAGAUUAGGCAGCCUCUAGACCCUGAAGUUAACAGAGAGGACAAAACUUAGAAGCCUGGAUGAAGUCUGGUUACAGCAGAACAAGGUAUGGUGAGGGGCUGGGCAUGAAAUGAAGAAUGCAGAGUCAAUUCCAACCUUCUGGAGCUUAUCAUCAGGGAAGACAGGCACAGAAGCAGAUGUGCACACGAGGUGAAACGCUAGUCGGGUUAAUGGAGCACAAUGGCCCGGCUUUCCCAAGCUACAGGCAGCGUAUUCAGCAGGAAGUAAAUUCUGUUCGUCUUGAAAAUGUUUACCAAGCAUCUAAUGUGUGCUGGAUUCAGAAAAGACAAAGAUUAAACUUGCUGUCUGGCAGGGUGGGCUACGAUAAAUGCCACUGGCAAGGGUCAGAUGGUGAGCUGUAGGGAGCUCAGGCUUGGGAGAGAUCAGAGCCAGCUUGGCUUCCUGGAGGAGAAGGCAUUUGUGAUGGGCCCAGGUUGCACAGAUUGUCAGGGAAGAGGCUGAGCAGAGGCAUUCCAGGCAAGGGAAGCAGCAAGAGCCUGACAAGCCAAUCAACAACAGUACUUCCGCAUCCCCCACCAACUGCCCCACUCCCCCCUGCACGUCCUCUGCUCACCCCACCCUACCCACUCUCAGGAUUCUUAACUGACAGUUGAGACUCUCCAGAACAAAGCCUCCUUCUCUCUGUCCAGCUCACUGACCCAUGUUGCUCCUACGUAAACCUCUGCUCCAGCCACACAAAGCCACCUGCCAUUUCUUAAAUGCUCCCUCAGUUUUCUGUCCCUAUCUCACUCUGCAUUUCCAGACAAAGCCCCCUUCCCCAAUACUCUCUCCUCUGCCUCUCACUUUCCUACCCAUCAUUCAAGGUCCACCUAGAAUACCACCUCCUCUAUAAAUCUGCAAGUCUAUAAAUCUACAAAGCCUCCCUGAAUCUCUUCCAAACACUGCAACAUUUUGACUGCAUUUCCCUCCUGGCACUGAGCCCUUCCUGCCUUGUACUGUAAUACCUUUCCUUGUGAACCGUAAGCUCUGUGAGGGGAAUGCCAUGCCAUGUGGGUGUCUCUCCCAAGGGUCUUGGACAGGGGCACUCAGUGACAGACCGGAUGGGCAGCGCCCCGGCACACGCACAGGCCGUGAGCAAAGUGGUCAGAGGGAGAGGUUAAACAAACCUGCGCUUUGACCGGCAUUUAAGGGGACCCGGAGUUCUGUCACCAUUGGCUAUCCAGCCGGCAUCAUUGCCCUAGACUUAGGUGAGGCAUGGAGCUCGCCAACAGCCCCCGCAGCUCGCUCUAUUAUCCGGUCCUCGUAAUUGCUUCCAGGACGUUCAGGGCUCCUGGUGAGUCUGAUCAGAAAAUUUCCAACCAUUCUUCUGAUGCCAAACUUAGUAUGCAGAUGAAAUCUGUGUAA